rnacentral:rRNA from 1 species
AAAGGUUUAUCCUACUAAACUUCUAAAUAGAAUACUGAUAAUGACAACUUUCUAUUUAUGUGUCUUGACUAACACACGUGCCAGCAGUCGCGGUAAGACGGGAAAGACUAGUGUUAUUCAUCUUUAAUAGGUUUAAAGGGUACCUAGACGGUUAAUCUUGCCUGAUAAGGGAACUGAUUUAACUAGAGUUUUAUGGAAGAGGUAAAUUUAGUAUUAUUAGUGGAGAGAUGAAAUUCUGUGAUACUUUUAGGACUGGUAACGGCGAAGGCGAUGCUCUAAGUAAAAACUGACGUUGAGGGACGAAGGCUUUGGUAGCAAACAGGAUUAGGUACCCUAAUAGUCUUAGCAGAGAAUGAUGAGUGCCAUAGGUUAGAGUUAUUUUGAUCUAUCAAUGAAAGUGUAAGCAUUCCACCUCAAGAGUAAUGUG